GCCGCAACAGCUUACAAACUUAAACUAUUUAUUACGCUGCGACGCGUUGCGAAACAAAGCAGCAUAGUAAAAAAGGAUUAGUUAAGCGCCUAGCUCACGCACACAGUAAUCGUAUCUGCUUCAUCAACAGAAAGCAGUUGACGGAGAAUACGGAGAGGACGAGAAAUUAGUACAAAGUGCCCUUUAGAGUCAAAUUCAAUUUAAUCCAUUUUAAAC